rnacentral:lncRNA from 1 species
GAACUUUGUAAAAUAAGAAUAUUCAUCUUCUAAACUUUAUGAUAUUUUGAAAUAAACCAUUAUGGUCCUAUAAGUCAUCUUUAUUUCUGUAGUAAAUUAACUUUCAUCACUUCUUUUGGGACAUGGUCUUCAGAAUAGAUCCCUUUAUUCAAUUUAUUUGUUUAUGACCAGAUUUCUUCUUAUCCAGGGCUCCCUUUUAGAAACUUUACAUUUGAUGCUGUAGCCUGAGAGAUUGGUUGAUUUUUUUUUUUUUAAUUGUUUUUAGUUGCAGGACACAAUACCUUUAUUUUAUUUAUUUAUGUAGUGCUAAGGAUCGAACCCAAUGCCUCAUGCAUGCAAGGCAAGUGCUCUACCACUGAGUCAAACCCAGCCCUGGUUAGUUAAUUUUUAAUAGUCAUGUCAUUCCUUGAGCUUGUCAUGAUGGAAAUGCUUAUAUAAUUCCUGUUUCAUAAGGGCCUAUGACCUAAUAGAGAUUAUCUUCAUGUUGAUAGAAUUAAUCAGAUUUUACUAUUUCGUUUUUUCAGCAAGGUGCUUUUUAAAAAUAUUUUUUAGAUGUUGAUGAACCUUUACUUUAUUCAUUUAUUUUUAUGCAGUGCUGAGAAUUGGACACUGUGCCUCAUACAUGGCGAGAGUCUACCACUGAGCCACAACUCCAGCCCUGUAAUAACUUUUCAAAAAUAAAUAAAUUAAUUAAAUAAAUAAAGCUGUUUUAGCAUUGUCUCAUGAUAGUUAAAUAAAUGCUUGUUUUCAUGCACCUCCUUAUUUAUUGGUAGGAGAGAUGGGAAGUUUAAUAUUCUAGCUCUCAUACUUUUGCUUCAUCAGCUUUACCUCAAAAACCCUAUUCUUUGCUCUUCAUCCUGUCUGACAUUAUUUAACAGAGCAGAUUCUUAUGUUAAGCACAUUUGUGGCUGAUUCUUGUUAUUGUGACCUCACAAUUCCAUUAAAUUUUGUCAAAAGCUUCUUGCCUUUUUGGUGCAGGAAUCUACUUUCAUGAUCAUACUUAGGUCUUGUCAUCUCCUUGAAGUUUAUUCCAACUCAAAAUACUGUUCUGAUAACUAUUCAAUCCUUCUACCUCUCUUCUUUUUGAUGUUCACCAAAUCUACUCUUUGAAGCCACUGAUAGCUUGCCCUUACACUGUUCCCUUCACUUCAUCAGCUUCUUUCAGGGUUUCAUUUAUUUCCCU